CUUACUUUGUCUAAUUUGUCCCUCAAAACAGCUUGUGAGGCAAGUGUGAUUAUUUUUCCAUUUUGCAGUGGAGGAAACUUUAGAAGAAAUUCUAAAAAUCACACAGUAGAAAAGAGAUCAGAACCAGGACUUGAACUUACUUCUCUUUGGAUUCGAAAGCCUGGGCUCCUGCCAUACACUGAGGGAAACUUAGAGUUUCAUUUGGUCACCACUGUAGUAAAGUUCUUUCCGGUACUGUGGAAAGGAUUGCAGGCCCAACCAUACGGAUCCCAUGAACCUGCACAGCUGCCCAGAGCAAAGACAGUGACUUGUACCUGCCAGAUCUGAGGUGCUCAGUUCUCAUCACUUUAUGCUCACCAUUUGGAGUGCUUUAUACCAACAAACUAGAAUGUAGCUGCUGUGGAAGUAGUGGACUCAGACGUCGUCCUUGUCUCAGGUGGAGUUCACGGCCUGCAUCUGCAGCAAGUUUGCAUGCUUUUUCCUCUGGAACCUCCAGGCUUCAUCAGGCCAUGAUGAGUCAGAUGCAUUUAGACGUGAUCCGGUGUGUUGGCAUGCAGAAAGUGGGUGAUUGGGCCGACAGACGUAUCCGUUGAAGCAGUACUAAGGAGCUUGUAUGCUACAAACACAGGACUUCUGAUAAAAU
rnacentral:lncRNA from 1 species